CCCGGCCCGUGCGCGCUCCGCCCUCCCGGAGGUGGGCACGCGCCGUCCAGCCCGCCCUGUGCGCCCUGGGGCGGGGACACGGGGCCUUCCGGUGACACGGCUGCCUGGCUGCUUCUUCUCCGGUUCCGGAGGGGCGGCGUGGCAGGGCUGCCGGAGACCCAGACGCGGCCGCCACCCUCCUGCCCCCCUCCUCCCGCGGCCGCCCUCACCGCGCCCCGUUCCCCGCCUGCCUCCUGGAGGGUGAGGGCCGGGCUGAGGCCUCCUCGCCUCCCAGGCCAGGCGGGUUCGCGGGGCUGCGCCUGGAGAGGGCUGGAAGGGUUGGGACUGAGGCCCUAAGGCCCUCCACGAGCCAGCCUUUCCAUGGAGGACGCUGGCGAGGACGCCACCAGGUUCACGGCCCAUUCUCUGCCCAGUGACCCCCGGCUCCUGGCCACUGUGACCAACGCGUACUUGGGCACACGUGUGUAUCAUGAGACGCUGCAUGUGAGCGGCGUGUACAAUGGAGCUUUGGGGGAUACACACCGGGCCAUUCUACCCAGUCCCCUCAACGUCCAGCUGGAGGCCCCUGCAGGGUCAGGAGAGCAGCUGACCAAGACCUUUGUCCUGGACACCAACACAGGCUCCUUUCUGCACACCCUGGAGGGCCCCAGCUUCCGGGCCUCCCAGCGCAUCUACGCCCACCGCACGCUGUCUCACGUCCUGGCCUUCAGUGUGUCCAUCACCCGCUUGGCUGCAGAGAGCAGGCCCGUCACCGUGCUGCUGCGGUCAGCCUUCUCCCCAGAAAGCCCAGACCUGGACCUGCAUCUGGGUCCUGACUUCCAGGGAGCCCGGUACCUGUACGGCCACACACUCAUCCCUGAGCAGCCUGGGGGGGCACAGCAGGAGGUGCACAUGUUGUGGACACCAGUGCCCCCAGCCUUGACCCUUGGGGAAGGGGAGGAGGAGGGGACAUGGGAGUUCCUGACGGUGGUGGGUGGCAGCCAGGCCGAGGUCCAGGCCUGCCUCACUGGUGCCCUGCAGCUGCAGGCCAGGCGCACUCUCUACACGGCUCAUGCCCGGGCCUGGGCCCAGCUCUGGGCAGGCUGUGGCCUGGAUGUGGAGGGGCCCCUGCCCCUGCGCCAGGCCCUGCGUGGAGCCCUCUACUACCUGCUCAGCGCCCUGCCCCAGCCCGGGGCCCUAGGAUACAUCUGCCACGGCCUCAGCCCAGGGGGCCUCUCCAAUGGGAGCCGUGAGGAAUGCUACUGGGGCCACGUCUUCUGGGACCAGGACCUCUGGAUGUUCCCCGGUGUCCUGGCGCUCCACCCAGAGGCUGCCAGGGCGCUCCUGCAGUACCGUGUCUGCACCCUCGGCGGGGCCCUGGACAAUGCCCGGAACCUAGGGUACCAGGGAGCCAAGUUUGCCUGGGAGAGCGCGGGCUCCGGCUUGGAGGUCUGCCCUGAGGCCAUUUACGGGGCCCAGGAGAUCCACAUCAAUGGGGCCGUGGUGCUGGCCUUCCAGCUGUACUACCACACCACCCAGGACCUGCAGCUCUUCCGAGAGGCUGGUGGCUGGGAUGUGGUCCGUGCCGUGGCUGAGUUUUGGUGCAACCGAGUGGAGUGGAGCCCUGGGGAGGAGAAGUUCCACCUGAAGGGAGUCAUGCCGCCCGACGAGUACCACUCAGGGGUCGACAACUCCGUGUACACCAAUGUCCUGGUCCAGAGCAGCCUGCGGUUCGCUGCUGCCCUGGCCCAGGACCUCGGUCAUCCCGUUCCCAGCCGGUGGCUGCUGGUGGCUGAGAAGAUCAAGGUGCCCUUUGACCCGAAACUGAACUUCCACCCUGAGUUUGAUGGUUACCAGCCUGGAGAGGAGGUGAAGCAGGCAGAUGUCGUGCUCCUGGGAUACCCUGUGCCCUUCCCCCUGAGUCCUCAAGUUCGCAGGCAAAACCUGGAGAUUUAUGAGGCUGCGACGUCCCCCCAGGGCCCUGCCAUGACCUGGAGCAUGUUUGCGGUGGGCUGGAUGGAGCUGAAGGACCCUGGGCGCGCAUGGGACUUCCUGGAGAGGAGCUUCGCCAACGUCACAGAGCCCUUCAAGGUGUGGACGGAGAAUGCAGACGGGUCGGGUGCCGUGAACUUCCUGACAGGCAUGGGGGGCUUUCUGCAGGCAGUGCUCUUUGGGGUCACGGGGUUCAGAGCCUUCCCCUCCCCCCAGGAUCACCGGGGCCGGUUUGACGUUCGACCCCAUGUGUCCGGCGGGGAUCUCCGGACUGUGUGUCUCUGGCUUCUCCUACCAGGGGAGCAAGCUUGACUUUUCCUUCUCCAAGGGCUCUGUGACUGUCGAGGUCACGGCCCAAGCAGGGCCCUGGGCCCCCCCACUGGAGGCUGAGCUGUGGCCAUCACAGAGUCGGCUCUCCCUGCCCCCAGGACACAAGGUCUCCUUUCCCUGCUCAGCUGGCCGGAUACAAAGGUCACACCUGUAGGAAGCAGGGGCAGCAAGUUCUGCUCCAAGAGUUUCCAGGGAGGAAGUUCUGAAGACAUUAAAACACCUGCCUGGAGCUCACAGGACCUUCUCCGGGACACCCUUGGACUCUCCAGCCCGAGUCCCUCCCCCGGCCCUGUCCUGCCACCUCCACCCUAAGGACCAGGGCUGUUGGCUUCAGGAAUGUCUCUCAGGUCCUCCCCUCUGGCGGGUGCUGCUGAUGGCUGCACUCAUCCCUCCUCAAUGCUCUCCUGGCCUGCAGCCCCCCCCACCCUCCUGGACGUAGCAGCCAGGCUCACAGCUUCCAAGGAAAGCCUGGAUUCUUUGGCCUAAGUUCAAAACUCUGCCCUGAGCAAGAGCCCCUCCCCAGCCUAAUCCCCCAAAAUGGGCAGCUUCCCUGCAGGCUCACACAGCAUGUCUGCUCCCACCCUCCCUCGGUGCCCCUUCCCUAGGACCUUGCAGCGUGAGGUGGGGGAGUGGCCAAUGGUUCUGCAAAGAAGACAGAGACAGCUGUGGGCUUCCAUGGGAAGGAUGGCAGGAUGAGGGGCAUGGGGGAGACUCAUUCUCCUGUUGGAUUACUUGGACACUGAGUCCUAGCUUUACCACAAAGGAACUUUCUUUAUCACAAAAUUGGGCAUCAGGUAUGGCUCGGUCCAGGUGCUCUUGGGGUGUUGUGAGGACUCAGCAUCCUCAGUCCUUGGCUCCUUUUGCCUCUGGGCCACUUCAGUCAGAUUGGAUGGUCUCUGUCACAUGCCUUUGCUCAGCUGGGAAGGGAGGGGAGUGGGGUGUGGAGCAAGACCCUGCAUUUCCCCCUGACCAGCCAGAAGGACUGGGGCCAAAGUGCGCAUGAGUUCAAGGCCAUGGCCCUGGGCCCACCUGUCCUGGUCAGGCUGCCCUCAGCCGAGGCUCUGCCCACCGUCUCCUCCUGGGCCUCAGCCCCUCUGUUGGCUGAGCAGACUUGGGUUCUGCGGGGUUUCCCCAGGACGAGGUGAGACGCCACAGAAAUGCUGGCGAGGGCCGUUGCCCACUGCACCAGAUCUGCCUGAGGAAUAAAAGCUUGGUGCUGGGCAAGUUUUGUCUGCUGUGAGGAGCUGAUGGGCUCCUUCCUGAACGUGAGGAUUUAGUAAAGGAUCAAGUUUCCCUUCCCUGCAGCUGGGAAGCAAGUAAGUGGGUCCCGUCAUGUCUGCGCCCUCCACCCUCCUUCGUCUGCAAACCACUGCUCUCUGUUCUCAGCAGAGAGUUAGCCCGGGUUCUCCAAGAAGCAAACACUAGGCAGACAAACUGUGACGGACUGAAGCCCCGUGAGGGAGAGAGGGAAAGGGGAUGGGUAGAGGCACUGGGGUCACCGGGGCCAGCUCCCCGAGAACAUGUGGCCUCAGAAUGGAACCAGUGUCUUGGUGGGGCUCCCCCAGGUUAGGGUUAGGGGUUAGGCCCUCACCCAACUGCUGGCACUUACACAAAGGCCCAGGCAGGUCUGCCGAAGCAGAGCAGGGUGGCCAGGGACUGUCCCCAUGAGGCAGACACUUGCCUUUGCAGCCUUGGAGCCAGAUGUGGGCACAGGCAUCAGAUGGGGUUGGUAGGUGGCCCUACGCCCACAGGACUGACAUAGCCUGAUACUUGCCACGUGUGUGUGUGUGUGUGUGCGCCUGUUGAGGGGCAGUCCUCCAAGGGGCCAUGACAGGGUGGCAGCGUGUGUGUGCUGGCCUGGCUGGUCCAGCCCAUGACAGCCAAUUGCCUAAACUUGAUCGGAGUCCCUCACCCUGCCCAGGAGACAGGCUGGGGCAGGAAGGGUUGCUGGUGACCUUCCUCUGUGCCUGGCUUGAUGGCACAUUCUCUGUCCUCAGCACCUGGACACAACUUGGACAAUCCCUGCUCCCCUCACCAGAUGUGGGGACCAGCAGACCAUCCCCUCCUUGGACACAUUUACCCAGCUAUACACAGGCUGACCCCUGCUUCCAGCCUCUGUGUCCAGCAUGGGUUGGUCCCUUCCUGGGCCAAACCUGGAGCUCAGUGUUGGAACACUGUCUCCAUCCUGGUCCGAGAACUGGUCUUGUCGUUGGUCCAGUGUGGGACCAGCGCCCAGGAAGGAGCAGUGCUCCAUCUCCACCCAGGCCCCGGCCAGCACAACCUCUGCCCCAGGGGCUGGCUUGGAGCAGCGCACUCUCAGCAGCGGCCUGGGGCACUGCUGGCCUGCAGCCGGGACGCAUCUCUGCUGGUGCGCCUUGGAGACUGCUGAGCCAGCUGCUGGCUGUCACAGGAGGGGGCUGCUCUGGCGGCUCCAAGUACAGCCGCUAGACAGAGACCCCCACCCCCAGCCCUGGCAGGGUGGGCAGGCAAGGGCAGGGGAGGGACCGUGGGCGGGGUGUUCAAAGCCCUGAGCCGCCCUGUGGUUAAGGCCCCUGCUGUUAGCCUGCCCUGUCAUUGGCCUGGCCACAGCGAGGCCCCAGGGGCCUCACUGCCAGCCACAGAAUGUGCAUGUGUGUUCAGCAACCCCCCUCUGCCAGGCUCUGCUGGGGCUGGUGUGGGGGUUGUAUGAGGACAUGCACUCGCACCAAAAGCACUCAGAGAAUGUCCUCACCCCCAAAUGUUUUCCUUUGUGUACAGUCAUGCGUGUGCGGGGGUGCUCGUGUGUGUGUGUGUGUGUGUGUGUGUGUGUGUGUGAUGGGCAUGUGCACGGGUGACGUCGUGACCUUGUCUGUGUGCUUGUGUGUCUGUGUCCAGCCCCACUGAUCCAGGCAGGAGGGAGCCCACUGCUGGGAUGGAGAUGGAUCAGAGUUAAAGGGGUGCGGGGUCAGGAGGACGGAGAGAGGGACCCAAAGAAGGAGGUGAGCACAGGCUCAGCCACGGACAGGAACACGCAGGACAAGGACAAGAGCCCUCACUGUGCACACACGUGGACUCGGAGACACACCACACAUGUUCUGAAAGACAGGCCACUCAACCACAGCCCAGCAGAGAUCAAAGCCCAACUUCCCAAACUUCAUUCUAAAAUACUCAGGCCCUCCGCCCAGAAGCCGCAGCCUGCCUGGUGCCUGAGUGAGGGGACAGUCCGGGCACAGCCAAGCUGACAGGGCAGGGCGUCCACCUCAGAUGCUGGGGGCAGUCCAGGGGAUUUGGCUGUGGUGGUCCCUGGGGUAGCUCCCCUCAGGAAGAUACCCUCCCCCACCCCAACCAGGAACACACCCGGAAGGCACUUUCUGGAACCAGGCACUUUUAAUUGUGAAACAGGCUGAGCCUGGUGAGUGGGGAUGGAGGAGCUGGCCUGGGGGCUGGGUGCUAAGGGACUGGGGGCAUCGAGGUGAGGGUAAGGCCCUGGGGUCCACGUGGAGGGUCUCCAGGGUCAGUUUAGGUGCCCAGGCUGGGGCUGGUGGGUGGCCUCAGGCACCUAGGUGAGUCGGGGUUCCAAGGGAUUAGGGUGGAGCCCUGGGGCAGUGCCCUGGGGUUGGGAUCCCUGGGUCAGGACAGGGCCCCGGCCCAGGCCCAGCCUGUCAGUCAUAGUCUGAGUCGUCAAACUUGGUGCUGAAGAAGGCAGCGGAGCCCUUGGCCAGCCGGGACAGGUGCAGGGCGCCAGUCACCACCAGCACCAGGAGCAGCAGAGGCGGCACCAGCGCCCACAUGGUGGCCAGGAUGUUGUAGCACUUGGCUUUGGAGCCGAGACGCCGGGCUGCCUCCAGAUCUCCAGCCACCUUCUGGUCUCGGGCCUGUGGGCCAGCAGCAGGGCCAGGUCUCUACAUGUGCUUGAGGGGGGGUGGGGCCUGCCACCCCAUCCCAGACAGCUCCUGGGUCCACACCUCGGAGGACCUGCGCUGGACCCAAAACCUGGAUGGAGGGGUGUGGCCUGAGGGGACAUUGUCUGGGUUCCACCCACUCCCUUCACUGCCCCCAGAUGGACGCGUGGGCUUGGCCUUUCCCGGGGGCCUUGGGUCGGAACGGGCUCAGCCUAAGGUGGGGCUGAAAGGAGCCCCUACAACCUCGCACUCUGGCUGUGGACCCAGUGGCCAUCCCAGGCCAGCAGCAGCCUCCAAGGACCCUAACCUCCAAGGAUGGGGAGUCCUCAGCGCCCCGAGAGCAUUUGAUGGAAGAGACCCCCUUGGGUAAGGCCCCAUCGACCCUGGGCUCUUUGG